rnacentral:rRNA from 1 species
UACGUAGGGUGCAAGCGUUAAUCGGAAUUACUGGGCGUAAAGCGUGCGCAGGCGGUUAUGUAAGACAGGUGUGAAAUCCCCGGGCUUAACCUGGGAACUGCAUUUGUGACUGCAUAGCUAGAGUACGGUAGAGGGGGAUGGAAUUCCGCGUGUAGCAGUGAAAUGCGUAGAUAUGUGGAGGAACACCGAUGGCGAAGGCAGCCUCCUGGGCCAACACUGACGCUCAUGCACGAAAGCGUGGGGAGCAAACAGG